UGUGUCCGUCUGUCCGUCCUUGUGUCCGUCUGUCCAUCCCCUGUGUCUGUCUGUCCACCCCCCGCGUCCGUCUGUCCAUCCCUGUGUCCAGCUUGGUGUCCCUGUGUCACCCCCGACCACCCCUGUGUCCAUCUGUCCAUCCCUGUGUCCGUCUGUCCAUCCCUGUGUCCAGCUGGCUGUCCCUGUGUCCCCCCUAACCAUCCCCAUGUCCGUCCCCAUGUCCAUCCCCUGUCCAUCUCCUGUCCAUCCCCAUGGCCACCCUGUGUCCACCCCAUGUCCAUCUGUCCCUCUCAGGCCCAACGACAGCGGCGCCUGUGUCCCGCUGUGUCCAUCCGUGUGUCCAUCCGUGUGUCCAUCCCAUGUCCACCCCAUGUCCAUCCCUGUGUCCAUCCCAUGUCCACCCCAUGUCCAUCCCUGUGUCCAUCCCUGUGUCCAUCCCAUGUCCACCCCAUGUCCAUCCCUGUGUCCAUCCCUGUGUCCAUCCCAUGUCCACCCCAUGUCCAUCCGUGUGUCCAUCCCAUGUCCACCCCAUGUCCACCCCUGUGUCCAUCCCAUGUCCACCCCAUGUCCAUCUGUCCCUCCCAGGCCUGCCGGCACUUCAACGACAGCGGCGCCUGUGUCCCGCUGUGUCCGCAGCCCCUCAUCUACAACAAGCUGACGUUCCAGCUGGAGCCCAACCCCGACACCAAGUACCAGUACGGGGGGGUCUGCGUGCGGGAAUGCCCCCACAACUUCGUGGUGGACCAGAGCUCGUGCGUGCGUGCCUGCCCCAACGACAAGAUGGAAGUGGAGAAGAACGGGCUGAAGAUCUGCGAGCCCUGCGCGGGGCUGUGCCCCAAGGCCUGCGAGGGCACCGGCGCCGGCAGCAAAUACCAGACCGUGGACUCGAGCAACAUCGACACCUUCAUCAACUGCACCAAGAUCCUGGGCAACCUCGACUUCCUCAUCACGGGCCUGGAGGGGGAUCCCUGGCGCAACAUCUCGGCGCUGGACCCGGAGAAGCUGAACGUGUUCCGGACGGUGCGGGAGAUCACGGGGUACCUGAACAUCCAGUCCUGGCCCAAGCACAUGCACAACUUCAGCGUCUUCUCCAACCUCGAGACCAUCGGGGGCCGGAGCCUGUACAAGUGAGGAGCCUCUGCCGCGUGUCCCGCUCCGCCGAUCCCCGAAUUCCCUGUUUUCCCCGAUCCCCGAAUCCCCCGUCCUCCCCAAUCCCUGAAUUCCCCGUUUUCCCUAAUCCCCGCAUCCCCUCGUCCCUGCAUCCCCGGCACCCCCCAUCCCCAUGUCCUUGUCCCUGUGUUCCCUCGGGACCUUCCCUCCCUCCCUCCCUCCCUCCCGCUCCCGGAGCCUCCGUCUCUCCCGGAGCAUUCCCCAGCUCCCGGAGCAUUCCCCGGGUCCCGGAACAUUCUCCUGUUACCGGAGCUUCCCUUCCGCCGCUCCUGGAGCAUCUCCUCAUGCCCGGAGCAUUCCCCGGAUCCCAGAGCCGCUCCUGGAGCAUUCCCUCACUCCCAGAGCAUCCCCUCACUCCCGGAGCAUUCUCCGGGUCCCGGAGCCUCCGUCUCUCCCGGAGCAUUCCCCGACUCCCAGAACAUUCUCCUAUUACCGGAGCUUCCCUUCCGCCGCUCCUGGAGCAUUCCCUCACUCCCAGAGCAUUCCCCGGAUCCCGGAGCAUCUCCUCACUCCUGGAGCAUUCCCCGGCUCCCGGAGCAUUCUCCUGUUACCGGAGCUUCCCUUCCGCCGCUCCUGGAGCAUCUCCUCAUGCCCGGAGCAUUCCCCGGAUCCCGGAGCAUUCCCUCACUCCCAGAGCAUUCCCCGGAUCCCGGAGCAUCUCCUCACUCCCGGAGCAUUCCCCGGCUCCCGGAGCAUUCUCCUAUUACCGGAGCUUCCCUUCCACCGCUCCUGGAGCAUUCCCUCCCUCCCGGAGCAUUCCCCGGAUCCCGGAGCAUCCCCUCACUCCCGGAGCAUUCUCCGGGUCCCGGAGCCUCCGUCUCUCCCGGAGCAUUCCCCGACUCCCAGAACAUUCUCCUGUUACCGGAGCUUCCCUUCCGCCGCUCCCGGGGCAUCUCCUCACUCCCGGAGCAUCCCCUCACUCCCGGAGCAUUCCCUGGCUCCCGGAGCAUUCCCUCACCCCCUGAGCAUCCCCUCAUGCCCGGAACCGCUCCCGGAUCCCGGAGCAUGCCCCGGCUCCAGGAGCGGCUCCCGACUCCCGGUGCAUCUCCUCACUCCCGGAGGAUUUCCCGGCUCCCAGAGCAUCUCCCGGUGCAUCCCCUCACUCCCGAAGCAUUCCCCGGAUCCCAGGAGCAUCCCCUCACUCCCGGAGCACCUCCUCACUCCCGGAGCAUCCCCAGCUCCCCGAGCUCCCCCAGCUCCCGGAGCAGCUCCUCGAGCACCCCCUCACUCCCGGAGCAUCCCCUCACUCCCGGAGCAUCCCCUCACUC
rnacentral:lncRNA from 13 species